rnacentral:rRNA from 1 species
CCUACGGGUGGCUGCAGUGAGGAAUAUUGGUCAAUGGACGCGAGCCUGAACCAGCCAAGUAGCGUGAAGGAAGACUGUCCUAUGGGUUGUAAACCUCUUUUAUCAGGGAGCAAAACAAGCCACGCGUGGCGUUCCGCAUGUACCCUAAGAAAAAGGAUCGGCUAACUCCGUGCCAGCAGCCGCGGUAAUACGGAGGAUGCGAGCGUUAUCCGGAUUUAUUGGGUUUAAGGGGUGCGCAGGAGGAAGGUAAAGUCAGUGGUAAAAUUUGGGGGCUCAACCUCUUAGAGCCGUUGAUACUGGGAUUCUUGAGUGAGCGAGAGGUAUGCGGAAUGCGUGGUGUAGCGGUGAAAUGCAUAGAUAUCACGAAGAACUCCGAUUGCGAAGGCAGCAUACCGGCGUUUAACUGACGUUCAUGCACGAAAGUGUGGGUAUCGAACAGGAUUAGAUACCCGAGUAGUC